AUUUCUUGGAGCUGUUACUGAGAAGAAGCCCUUGAUGCUAAUAACUGAAUACUUGAGAGGGGGUGACCUUCAUCAGUACCUCAAGGGGAAAGGUGCUCUUAGUCCAUCUACAGCAGUUAAUUUUGCUUUGGAUAUAGCAAGAGGCUUGGCUUAUCUUCACAAUGAACCAAAUGUUGUAAUCCACAGAGAUUUGAAGCCCAGGAAUGUUCUCCUUGUCAACUCCAGUGCUGACCAUUUGAAAGUUGGAGA
rnacentral:misc_RNA from 1 species